rnacentral:rRNA from 1 species
UUAGUUAAGUGAACGAUGGCGCACGGUGAAUGCCUUGGCACCAGGAGCCGACGAAGGACGGGACUAACACCGAUAUGCCCCGGUGAGUCGUAAGUAGACUGCGACCCGGGGAUUUCCGAAUGGGGCAACCCGCUGUCCGUAAUGGGGCAGUACUUGUGUCUGAAUUCAUAGGGCACAAGAGGCACACCCGGGGAACUGAAACAUCUCAGUACCCCGGAGAAGAGAAAGCAACGCGAUUUCCCCGGAGUAGCGGCGAAGCGAAACGGAAACAGCCCAAACCGGAAAGCGAUGCUUUCCGGGGUAGAAGGACACGCCAUGGGAGUUAUCAAGAAAUGGCUUAGACGAAUCGAUCUGGAAUGAUCAGCCGAAAAAGGUAAGAGCCCUGUAGUCGAAAAGCCAUUUCCUCCGGCGUGGAUCCUGAGUACGGCGGAACACGGGAAAUUCCGUCGGAAUCCGGGAGGACCAUCUCCCAAGGCUAAAUACUCCCUGGUGACCGAUAGUGAACCAGUACCGUGAGGGAAAGGUGAAAAGCACCCCGGAAGGGGAGUGAAACAGAACCUGAAACCGUGUGCCUGCAAGUAGUCGAAGCCCGUUAAUGGGUGACGGCGUACCUUUUGUAGAAUGGACCGGCGAGUUGCGAUUGUAUGCAAGGUUAAGUGGCAAACACGGAGCCGAGCCGAGUCGAGGCGUAAACAGUAUACGGUCGCAGACCCGAAACCGUGUGAUCUACCCAUGUCCAGGGUGAAGGUCAGGUAACACUGACUGGAGGCCCGAACCCACGUAUGCUGAAAAAUGCGGGGAUGAGGUGUGGGUAGGGGUGAAAUGCCAAUCGAACACGGAGAUAGCUGGUUCUCUCCGAAAUAGCUUUAGGGCUAGCCUCAGGGAGAAGCGUUCUGGAGGUAGAGCAACUGAUUGGACUAGGGGCCCUCCACCGUUACCGAAUUUCAGUCAAACUUCCGAAUGCCAGUAACGCAACCCUGGGAGUCAGACUAUGGGUGAUAAGGUUCAUAGUCGAAAGGGAAACAGCCCGGACCGCCAGCUAAGGUCCCUAAGUAUACGUUAAGUGGAAAAGGAUGUGGAGUUGCCCAGACAACCAGUAUGUUGGCUUAGAAGCAGCCAUCAUUUAAAGAGUGCGUAAUAGCUCACUGGUCGAGUGACUCUGCGCCGAAAAUGUACCGGGGCUAAACGUAUCACCGAAGCUGCGGAUUUGUUCGUCGAACAAUGGUAGGAGAGCGUUCCAAAUGCUGCCGAAGUCAAGACGUGAGGACUGGUGGAGCGUUUGGAAGUGAGAAUGCCGGUAUGAGUAGCGAAAAAAGAGUGAGAAUCUCUUUCACCGAAAGCCUAAGGUUUCCUGAGGAAGGCUCGUCCGCUCAGGGUUAGUCGGGACCUAAGCCGAGGCCGAAAGGCGUAGGCGAUGGCCAACAGGCAGAUAUUCCUGUACCACCUUGUGAGCGUUUGAACGAUGGGGGGACGCAGCAGGAUAGGGAAAGCGCACUGUCGGAAUUGUGCGCCCAAGCAGUGAGGGAGUUGGACAGGUAAAUCCGUCUGACAAUCCCAAGCUGUGACGGGAGGGGAAAUUGAGUACCGAAGUUCCUGAUUCCACACUGCCAAGAAAAGCCUCUAGUGAGUUCACAGGUGCCCGUACCGCAAACCGACACAGGUAGGCGAGGAGAGAAUCCUAAGGUGAUCGGGAGAACUCUCGUUAAGGAACUCGGCAAAAUGACCCCGUAACUUCGGGAGAAGGGGUGCUCACACCGAGUGAGCCGCAGUGAAUAGGCCCAAGCGACUGUUUACCAAAAACACAGGUCUCUGCGAAGCCGAAAGGCGAAGUAUAGGGGCUGACACCUGCCCGGUGCUGGAAGGUUAAGGGGACGCGUUAGCGUGCUUGUCACGCGAAGCGCCAAACCGAAGCCCCAGUAAACGGCGGCCGUAACUAUAACGGUCCUAAGGUAGCGAAAUUCCUUGUCGGGUAAGUUCCGACCCGCACGAAAGGUGCAACGACUUGGGCACUGUCUCAACGAGAGACCCGGUGAAAUUAUACUAUGCGUGAAGAUGCGCAUUACCCGCGACUGGACGGAAAGACCCCGUGGAGCUUUACUGCACCUUGAUGUUGAAUGUUGGUACAGCUUGUACAGGAUAGGUGGGAGCCGUCGAAACGUGAGCGCCAGCUUACGUGGGAGGCACCGUGGGGAUACCCACCCUGGCUGUACGAACAUUCUAACCCAGGACCGUAAUCCGGUCCGGAGACAGUGUCAGGCAGGCAGUUUGACUGGGGCGGUCGCCUCCCAAAAGGUAACGGAGGCGCCCAAAGGUUCCCUCAGAAUGGUUUGGAAAUCAUUCGCAGAGUGGCAAAGGCAGAAGGGAGCUUGACUGCGAGACCUACAAGUCGAGCAGGGACGAAAGUCGGGCUUAGUGAUCCGGUGGUCCCGCAUGGAAGGGCCAUCGCUCAACGGAUAAAAGCUACCCCGGGGAUAACAGGCUUAUCUCCCCCAAGAGUUCACAUCGACGGGGAGGUUUGGCACCUCGAUGUCGGCUCAUCGCAUCCUGGGGCUGUAGUCGGUCCCAAGGGUUGGCUGUCGCCCAUUAAAGCGGUACGCGAGCUGGGUUCAGAACGUCGUGAGAGACAAGUUCGGUCCCUAUCCGUCGUGGCGCUGGAAGUCUGAGAGGAGCUGUCCUUAGUACGAGAGGACCGGGAUGGACACACCGCUGGUGUACCAGUUGUUCCGCCAGGAGCACAGCUGGGUAGCUACGUGUGGCAAGGAUAAGUGCUGAAAGCAUCUAAGCAUGAAGCCCCCCUCAAGAUGAAACUUCCCAUCACUUUAAGUGAGUAAGAUCCCUCAGAGACGAUGAGGUGGAUAGGUCCGAGGUGGAAGCGUGGCGACACGUGGAGCUGACAGAUACUAAUCGAUCGAGGACUUAACUAAA